rnacentral:tRNA from 3 species
GCCGGAGUAGCUCAGUGGCCAGAGCAGCCGACUUGUAAUCGGCAGGUCAGGGGUUCGACUCCCCUCUCCGGCU